AGCUGAAUGCUUUUUUGCAACUGCCUUGUGUCAACUCAUGUCUGACAGGCCUUAAAUUAAUAAAUCUGUAUGGAAACUCCAAGCCUAGAAUACUUGAAGUUUGUUUAGGUUCAGGGAACUUUAACUGCCCCCAUUGGGGAUGGCUAAUCUCAGUUUCCUGAAGGAAAACAGCUAUUCUAAUUCUUUUUAUAACCAUAAACUCUUAUUUAGUCUACGUCUGUCCUUAGAUGAUUGUCUCCAACCUUAGAUGACUGAGCUUGCAGGGUUUCUGUGAUCUGGUGACUGAAUGUAAACUAAUGUUUGUGGCUGAUUGAUUGGUUUUGAUCAUUCUGACGGCUUAAUUAAGUAACUCCAGACAAAACAAACACUAAAACAGGUCAUAUUGAACGUCUCAGCAGGAUGCUAGAUGUUUUGGGAUUUUAUUAUUUUAAGUUUGUUUUCUAAGUCUUCUGUCAUGGUUUUGAUUCGCUAAUGAACUAAUACUCUUGCAGGUGAACAUAUUUUUCCAUUUAUGGCAUUUGUUUGGAAAAGGUCACGUGACAACCACAGAGAACAGAUGUUAGAGAUGAUGCGAGGAAUGUUUGCAGACAUGCUUCAAUGACCUCUGAACUCUCCUUUGCACCUGCUACCAAGUCUGACAGAUGCAGGACUCGACUCUCCGGAGAGCGUGUUGUCGGCAGGACAGUUUGUCACUCGGCACUUCUUCACGGAUCAGGUGUUCUCUCCUGAAGGAAGAUGUCUGGGCAAUAAUACCUCACUGUUGCUUCCAUUAAAGGCAUGUGUCCAGCAGUGAUUCAGAUCUCCCUGACGUCACAUAGGCAGAAGUGAGGAUCUUUACAGCUCCAUGGCUGAUUUUUAGCUUCAAACACGAGGGCAUCAAGUUGAUUUAAAGUGCCGGGAGUCUGCGAGCAGCUGGCCAGUUGUAUUCAGACAAUCAAUCCAUCUGCCAGCCAAUCCCAGCGAAUCUAACCGGCAGCGCGGGGGCACUUUGUGCCGCCCGUGAAGGUUUGUUCCACAACAUUACGCUCCUCUUUAAGAGAUGAAUGCAUGCGAGAGACAUUUAUCAAGAAGGGAAGACGUGAAAUGAAAUGCACGAUGUUGUAUACUCUACACCAUACUGAGUUUCAUCCA